GUGAUCUGCCCGCCUCAGCCUCCUAAAGUGCUGGGAUUAUAGAAGUGAGCCACCACGCCUGGCCAAGUACCCAUAUUUUUAAACGGUGCUUUCUGCCACUGUGUUGUUAAUUUGUGGUGUUAACUGCCACAGUACGUUCUGCCAUCUGGCACAUGAUGCUAUGAUUCUGCAUGACUGGUGCAAUGAGAAACAGAAUAUCCCAUUUAUGUUAGCAUCACCUAUAACCAAGUCAUGGCAGUAUUGCAGUAUUUUCUUAGUGUGCAACUGCAGCUCUCUUGCUUUAAGAGUUGUUUUAGAUAUGUUAUUCUUCUAAAGGAAGAAAAAAGCUGUCAAUAUCUUUGUACUUUGUCUACCUGUGCAGCUACUCAGGGUACUCCAAAUCAAGCUAACAUCUUACAGUCCAUUUAACUGCCAUAGCCAAGUACUGCUGUCACAAGCAAAACAUAAAGAAGUCUGAUACGAUGCUGCUGUCUACAGCCAUACCACCCUGAAUGUGCCCGAUCUCGUCUGAUAGGUCUGCUGCGGAAGGUACUCUCUAUGGAAGAACAUAAGACCUCAGCACCAAAGUCAAGGUUUGGAGAAGGAUACUGAUGUCUUCCUCUCGAGUUGUUGGACAGAUUAGAGACAAUGACAGUUGAGAGUGAAAGGAGAAACUAUGACUAGACAAGAGGCAGCAACUGGGAUAUCUGUUUAUGAUUUAUACAACUAUGAUAACACGUAUCAUGACUGUAGUAAAAUUCUGUUCCUGCGUCUGGACCUUCUUCAUCCCCAGAAGACCAUAAGCCCUGAGGGGCAAACCUUAUCCACCUCUGUAUUCCAAGAACCUAAGUGCCAAGAUGGGCAGUACUGACUUGAACAAACCUACAAUAAACCCUGGAACAAGCUACUAAUGUUCACUGCCACAGAUAACAUUUCUUUGAUACUAAUUAAAUGAAAGCUGAGCUGGCGAAUUUUUAUAUCUUUUUUUUUUAAGAAGCAUGACUCAAAUAGUAACUACCAAUUAUUUAAACAGCAAUCAGAAAUAGCCUGAGAAUUUAAGACAGGGGAAACAGAAUCUCUAAAGGGAAGUUACAUCAAAAGAUACAAAGUAUUCUUUUUUAUUAAAACUGUUUAUGCCUCCAGCUCUUGGUAUAAGAACAAGUCAGCAGUGUUCUAUUCCUAGUCUCUUUCUAGACUACAUUUUUUUUUUUAAGUAUCUCUUCUCUUACUUCAAAGGGGAAAAAAAUGUUUGAUGUAAGAACUGGUCAGUCAUGAAUCAAAGUAAAAGAUAAAGCAUACAACAAAGAGUUUCUCGAAGCCAGGGAGAAUCCAUUUAGCGUCCUCGAUUUAAAGGGAAAUCCCCUUGGCUAUUUCUCCCAAACAAACUGUUUAUAACAAGUUGGAGGAUUUAUAUCCACUCAACCACAUAAGGUCUACUUCUUACACCUAGAAAAGACAAUACUACAAAAUGUGUGAAAGAAAGACUAUUUUUCAACAGCAUAAUUAACAUCUGCAAAAAUCAAUCUCCUGGGGUACACUAUACUGAAAUUCUUAAGAAUCUUCUUUCCUCUACGAAAGGUUUUUUUGUUGUUGUUGUUUUGUUUGUUUGUUUUUGAGACAGAGUCUUGCUCUGUCGCCCAGGCUG
rnacentral:lncRNA from 1 species